GGUGAGGUGGCUGAGUGGCCGAAAGCACCGCUUUGCUAAAGCGGCAUACUCGCAAGGGUAUCGAGGGUUCAAAUCCCUCCCUCACCG
rnacentral:tRNA from 1 species